rnacentral:lncRNA from 13 species
AUGCAUCAGGUGAAUAAUGAACAAAAAAUAGAAAAAAGUUGCUGUCAUGGUUUGGGUUCCCUGAAAAGCAUCUUGAGAAAAGGGCUGGAUUGUAACCCAAGAGAUGGGCCGUUCCUGAGGUUCAGUCCUUGCUUGGCAAGUGAAGGGAAAUUCAAGCUCAAAAACUUCUGCAUCCUGCUCAACAUCAUCCCCUGCCAUGUGGACCAGUAUCUGAAGGGGAAGAGCCUGCGUUCACACUCCACACACUGCGCCAUGACUCCGUGCCACCUGUUGAUUUAUCUUUUGGGGUGCUUUGUAAUGAUUGAAUUCAGGUUCUCUCUACUCUCUCAGCUAACAGCUCAGUGACAGCAGGUCCCUUGUACCUUAUUCACCCUUACACUGCCAGGGCCUCCCACAGCACCAGACAUGCAGGAGAUGGAGAAGAGGUAGUCAUCAAGUAAUUUGUCAUAACAUAGAGCUGGUCAUUCCCACCUGUGUUUUUUGGUGAAAGGGAGAAAAGCCGAGAUAGGUUUUAUGGACCAUUAAAUGUUUUAUGCAAAAAAUGUUUCCCAUUCUGUUGGUUGCCGGUUUGCUCUCAUGGUUACUUCUUCUGCUGUACAGAAGCUCUGAAGUUUAAUUACAUCCCAUUUGUCUAUUUUGGUUUUUGUUGCCAUUGCCCAUCAACGAUAGACUGGACAGGGAAAAUGUGGCACAUAAACACCAUGGAAUACUAUGCAGCCAUAAAAAAUGAUGAGUUCGUGUUCUUUGUAGGGACAUGGAUGAAUCUGGACACCAUCAUUCUCAGCAAACUGACACAAGAACAAGAAGCAUGUUCUCACUCAUAG